CCUACGGGAGGCAGCAGUGGGGAAGUAUUGGACAAUGGGCGAAAGCCUGAUCCAGCAAUUCCGCGUGUGUGAAGAAGGCCUUCGGGUUGUAAAGCACUUUAGUGGGGGAAGAAACAGCUUGGCCACACCAAGCCUUGACGGUACCCCAAGAAUAAGCACCGGCUAACUCUGUGCCAGCAGCCGCGGUAAUACAGAGGGUGCAAGCGUUAAUCGGAUUUACUGGGCGUAAAGGGUGCGUAGGUGGCUAUUUAAGUCGGAUGUGAAAGCCCGGGGCUCAACCUCGGAAUUGCAUUCGAUACUGAGUGGCUAGAGUUCGGUAGAGGGCGGCGGAAUUUCCGGUGUAGCGGUGAAAUGCGUAGAUAUCGGAAGGAACAUCAAUGGCGAAGGCAGCCGCCUGGGCCUGGACUGACACUGAGGCACGAAAGCGUGGGUAGCAAACAGGAUUAGAUACCCUGGUAGUCCACGCCGUAAACGAUGAGAACUUGACGUUGGUUCGUUUUACGAAUCGGUGUCGCNGCUACGACGAUAGUACUCCGUCCGUCGGGUAGGUACGGCCGGCCGACGGUUAGGUAACGUACGUAAAGGUAAAGUUAGUUACGGCGUGAGACGUGCCGACGGACGACGACGAGGGAGGAGG
rnacentral:rRNA from 1 species